rnacentral:rRNA from 1 species
UUAGAGUUUGAUCCUGGCUCAGAACGAUUUCUGGCGGCGUGGAUAAGACGUGCAAGUCGAACGAGAGAAUUGCUAGCUUGCUAAUAAUUCUCUAGUGGCGCACGGGUGAGUAACACGUGAGUAACCUGCCCCCGAGAGCGGGAUAGCCCUGGGAAACUGGGAUUAAUACCGCAUAGUAUCGAAAGAUUAAAGCAGCAAUGCGCUUGGGGAUGGGCUCGCGGCCUAUUAGUUAGUUGGUGAGGUAACGGCUCACCAAGGCGAUGACGGGUAGCCGGUCUGAGAGGAUGUCCGGCCACACUGGAACUGAAACACGGUCCAGACACCUACGGGUGGCAGCAGUCGAGAAUCAUUCACAAUGGGGGAAACCCUGACGGUGUGACGCCGCGUGGGGGAAUUGAAGGUCUUCGGAUAGUAAACCCCUGUCAUGUGGGAGCAAAUUAAAAAGAUAGUACCACAAGAGGAAGAGACGGCUAACUCUGUGCCAGCAGCCGCGGUAAUACAGAGGUCUCAAGCGUUGUUCGGAAUCACUGGGCGUAAAGCGUGCGUAGGCUGUUUCGUAAGUCGUGUGUGAAAAGGCGCGGGCUCAACCCGCGGACGGCACAUGAUACUGCGAGACUAGAGUAAUGGAGGGGGAACCGGAAUUCUCGGUGUAGCAGUGAAAUGCGUAGAUAUCGAGAGGAACACUCGUGGCGAAGGCGGGUUCCUGGACAUUAACUGACGCUGAGGCACGAAGGCCAGGGGAGCGAAAGGGAUUAGAUACCCCUGUAGUCCUGGCAGUAAACGGUGCACGCUUGGUGUGCGGGGAAUCGACCCCCUGCGUGCCGGAGCUAACGCGUUAAGCGUGCCGCCUGGGGAGUACGGUCGCAAGAUUAAAACUCAAAGAAAUUGACGGGGACCCGCACAAGCGGUGGAGUAUGUGGCUUAAUUCGAUGCAACGCGAAGAACCUUACCUGGGCUUGACAUGUAAUGAACAACAUGUGAAAGCAUGCGACUCUUCGGAGGCGUUACACAGGUGCUGCAUGGCCGUCGUCAGCUCGUGUCGUGAGAUGUUUGGUUAAGUCCAGCAACGAGCGCAACCCCUGUUGCCAGUUACCAGCACGUGAAGGUGGGGACUCUGGCGAGACUGCCCAGAUCAACUGGGAGGAAGGUGGGGACGACGUCAGGUCAGUAUGGCCCUUAUGCCCAGGGCUGCACACGUACUACAAUGCCCAGUACAGAGGGGGCCGAAGCCGCGAGGCGGAGGAAAUCCUGAAAACUGGGCCCAGUUCGGACUGUAGGCUGCAACCCGCCUACACGAAGCCGGAAUCGCUAGUAAUGGCGCAUCAGCUACGGCGCCGUGAAUACGUUCCCGGGCCUUGCACACACCGCCCGUCA